UUACGACCAUAUCACGUUGAAACAACGAUUCCCGUACGAUCACCGAAGUUAAGCAACGUUAAGCCUGGCCAGUACCUAGAUAGAUAACCGCUCCAGAAUACCAGGUGCUGUAAG